rnacentral:rRNA from 1 species
UACGUAGGGGGCAAGCGUUGUCCGGAUUUAUUGGGCGUAAAGAGCGUGUAGGCGGCCAGACAGGUCAGCUGUGAAAACUCGAGGCUCAACCUCGAGACGUCGGUUGAAACCGUCUGGCUAGAGUCCGGAAGAGGAGAGUGGAAUUCCCGGUGUAGCGGUGAAAUGCGCAGAUAUCGGGAAGAACAUCCGUGGCGAAGGCGGCUCUCUGGGACGGUACUGACGCUGAGACGCGAAAGCGUGGGGAGCGAACAGG